AGUGAACGCUGGCGGUAGGCCUAACACAUGCAAGUCGAACGGCAGCACAGUAAGAGCUUGCUCUUACGGGUGGCGAGUGGCGGACGGGUGAGGAAUACAUCGGAAUCUACUUUUUCGUGGGGGAUAACGUAGGGAAACUUACGCUAAUACCGCAUACGACCUACGGGUGAAAGCAGGGGAUCUUCGGACCUUGCGCGAUUGAAUGAGCUGAUGUCGGAUUAGCUAGUUGGCGGGGUAAAGGCCCACCAAGGCGACGAUCCGUAGCUGGUCUGAGAGGAUGAUCAGCCACACUGGAACUGAGACACGGUCCAGACUCCUACGGGAGGCAGCAGUGGGGAAUAUUGGACAAUGGGCGCAAGCCUGAUCCAGCCAUACCGCGUGGGUGAAGAAGGCCUUCGGGUUGUAAAGCCCUUUUGUUGGGAAAGAAAAGCAGCAGGUUAAUACCCCGCUGUUCUGACGGUACCCAAAGAAUAAGCACCGGCUAACUUCGCG
rnacentral:rRNA from 1 species